rnacentral:rRNA from 1 species
GACGAACGCUGGCGGCGUGCUUAACACAUGCAAGUCGAACGGAAAGGCUCCAGCUUGCUGGAGUACUCGAGUGGCGAACGGGUGAGUAACACGUGGGUAAUCUGCCCUGCACUCUGGGAUAAGCCUGGGAAACUGGGUCUAAUACUGGAUAUGACCUUUCUCCUUAUGGGGUUUGGUGGAAAGUUUUUCGGUGUAGGAUGAGCCCGCGGCCUAUCAGCUUGUUGGUGGGGUGAUGGCUUACCAAGGCGACGACGGGUAGCCGGCCUGAGAGGGUGAUCGGCCACAUUGGGACUGAGAUACGGCCCAGACUCCUACGGGAGGCAGCAGUGGGGAAUACUGCACAAUGGGCGGAAGCCUGAUGCAGCGACGCCGCGUGAGGGAUGACGGCCUUCGGGUUGUAAACCUCUUUCAGCAGGGACGAAGCGUAAGUGACGGUACCUGCAGAAGAAGCACCGGCUAACUAUGUG